AGGGUAAGAGCUCAGUGGUAGAGUGCAUGCUUAGCAUGCUUGAGGCUCUGGUUCAAUCCCUAGUAACUCCA
rnacentral:tRNA from 1 species